UGAGUACAAUGCUGAUCACAUAGUUCAGCUGAUAAGUAGUGAUGAGCACAAAAUUAGUCUUUUGCUCUUAGUUGAUGUAUCUG